UGGAGUGCAGUGGCGCAAUCUCGGCUCAUGGCAACCUCCACCUCCCAGGUUCAAGUGAUUCUCCUGCCUCAGCCUCCCGAGUAGCUGGAACUACUCAGGCACCCGCCACCAUGCCCGGCUAAUUGUUUGUAUUUUUAGUAGAGACAGGGUUUCACUGUGUUAUCCAGGAUGGUCUUGAUCUCUUGACCUCAUGAUCCACCCGCCUCGGCCUCCCAAAGUGCUGGGAUUACAGGCGUGAGCCACCGCACCCAGCCGGAAACUGAAUAGGUAUUACAAGGAAGGAACAGUCUCUGUUUUCCUGAACUUCCUCCCGUUCAAGUUAAACUGGAGAAGAUCAUGCCAGGAGAAAAGGGAGUGAUUAUUUCAAUCACAAGACAUGAAAUCAGGAUGAUGAACACAUUUGGCAAGAAUCUAGUUCCAGGAAACAUGUUUUGAUGCUGCUUAACACAGCUUUUGGAAGUUGAUGAACAUCAUCAAAGUGUGAACCCAUCUCAGCUGACAAGGGGGACACAAAUUUGCUGCCUUCCUAUGUCAGCAUCUGAAGAGAUGGCAUGUGGAUGGGAACCAGCCAGGACAGCUGUGGAGGCAGCCAUAUCGCUGAAGAAGUGCAGGCUGCACCUGACCUUUCCCAGUGACCAAGGCAGUGCACACAGGGCCACACAGGGACAUCCUUCCAUGUUUUAUGUUGUUUGACUGAUGAUGACAUUACUGUUUAGACAUUUGGACUGCAAGGAGAAAUCCCACCACAGAUAAGUAGAUCGUCUUGUCUUUGCAUGGGCAUGCUGCCCUGGCUUGUCUGAUGUGUGCAUUAUGGGACGUAUGCACAGGAACAGCUCAGUUACCCACUCACCAGUCGUGAGGGUGCAAGACCUCUAAAAGUGAGGCCUGUAACUUGUUCAUCUUCAAGAUAGAGACUUCACAUUUCGGUGUAAUCACCAUCAACACUUACUGAAUUGAUCCGAAUUCAAUAAAUAUGAAUUCACGGAUAAUCUGCCAAAUUUAAAAUAUUGCCCUAGUGGUUUGGGGUGCACAGAGUUAAGUGAAACCACCCAUUCUUAGGGAUCAUCCAAUGCAGGAGUGCUGGCAUAUUCAUCAGCAAGGGCUGUCACACAGAACAUCACAGGCCCUGUGCUUACGCAACCGUUUCUGCUGAGGCCUCUCUUCCUGCUUAUAGACAGUGCCUUUUCACUUUGAGCUUGCUUGGCCUCUUCUCUGUGCAUGCACAGAGAGAGAGAAAGGGAGAACAGGCAGCCUCUGGCGCCUCUUCCUGUUCUCAUGACACUAGUUAAUAAGGUUCGGUUCUGUGUCCCCACCCAAAUCUCAUCUUGAAUUGUAGCUCCCAUAAUUCCUACUUGUUGUGAGAGGACCUGGUGGGAGAUAAUUGAAUCGUGGGGGUAGUUUCUCCCCACACUAUUCUCAUGAUAGUGAAUAAGUCUCAUGAGAUCUGAUGAUUUUAUAAGGGGUUUCCCCUUGGCUUGGUUUUCAUUCUCUCUUGCCUGCUGUCAUGUAAGAUGUGUCUUUCACCUUCCAUCAUGAUUGUGAGGCCUCUCCAGCCACGUGGAACUGUGAGUCCAUUAAACUUCUUUUUCUUUAUAAAUUACCCAGUCUUUGGUAUGUCUUUAUCAGCAGUGUGGAAAUAGACUAACACACCAGUCCUAUUGGAUUAGGGCCCCACCCUUACGACCUGACUAGACCUUAAUUACUUUCCUGAAGGCCCCAUCUCUAAUAUAGUCACACUGGAGGGUUAGGGCUUCAACACAUGAAUUUGGCUGGGGAGGCACAGUUCAGUACACAACAGAUGGGAACCAUCUUUUUUUUUCUGUUUCAACUUUUUUUUCAGUAUCAACUUUUUGUUUUGUUACAGUGAUUUAGCAUAAAACAAGUAGACACUAAUGUAACAUGCUCACUUAAAAUUCCAAGAAUUCUCAAAAAUUCUCGUACUAUGAACUGACCUUCUUAGUUUCUAAAACUGAAGAAAUCAUUGUAAUUUAAAACAUAAAUCAUCUCAAUCAUAAACAUUAAGAGUUUCCUUGGUGUUCACUCUUGGGAUAUUUCAAAAGAUGAUAAAGUAUGAAAUUAAGCAGAGCCUAUUAAGAUCAACCAUUUUUUAUUAUAUGACCUAUUCAUUUCAAAAUGUAGAUGCACAUAAUAAAUAAGUUUUCCAGUGUGUGCCUGCUCAGAGGUUUCUACACUCUCAGAAAGAAACCAAGCUAAUUACACAUGAAAUAUCAACUGGUGAGCAAUUAUAACCUGAAAAAUACCCUCAUGAUUUUGUAUAUUUUAUAAAUUUAUGAGUUGGGCAAAAAAUGUUAUAUCUAUACCAUGAAUUCAGAAACAGUGGUAAAAUAUGGUCAUAACAAACAGUAUGUGUAUAUAUACACACACGUAUACACAUACACACAUUAUACAUACACGUACCUCAUACACACACACACCUCAUACACACACACCCACACACCCACACCCACCACUAUCAUAAACUUCUGCUUUUAUUUGGCUGGUAAUAUGUACAAAUGAAUAUUUCUGAUUUGUUAGCUUUCUUGGCAUAUUUCUGUCUAAUUUUUUUAAUCUCUCCUCCUUCUUUUCAGAUAAGAAAAACAUGCUCUCUCUUCUCUAAUGAUUGGACAGACUCCUACUCCAAAACAGAAGAUCUCAACUCUGGAAGGGAGGAGAAACAAGACCCCCAGGACUUGUCAAUGGCACACAUGAAAGACAGAAAACACCAGAAGCCAGUCUUCAGCCUGCUGGCCCAGCCAUGGCCACUGUAACGUACGGCUAAACCCCUGCCCCGAUCAGCUCUCAAGGCUCUGAGCCAACUGCCUAGACCGUCUAUUUGAGAUCCCUGAGAGUUUCAACACAGGGCAUGGCUGACCUCUCCACCGUGUCAUUUCCAGUAAUGCGGCCUCACUGAUAGCAGAAGUUCGGAGAGCUCUUGUCAGAGAGGCCAGCUGGCACCAUGUGAGUCUUACCCAGAGGGAAACCUGACAAUCUUCCAGCAUGCUCACCAGACUGGGGCACUGACUUUUGUCACUUGAUUCUCAACUCACAGUCUCAAGAUGCUGGUGCUAAUGUACAUUGCAGCUGACACUGGAGUUUAUUUUUAUAACUGCUCUUGCCUCAGAAAAAGCUCCAUCCCAGUACGACUUCCAGGACAGGGAUGGUCUGGAUGCUGCAGUUAGGACAAUGAUCAUCUCGUUCUCUUAGUGGUUAGGAAUCCUGUGGGCUUAUGGAAUAAGCUCGCUGAAACAGACAGUGACAUCCACGGUGACACUGACCGAAUUGUGCUCCAGUGGCCUAGAGAGUGCCUAUUAUUUAUCUCAUUUCUGUUCUGCAUAAUAACACCAACCAAACCGCUAAUGAAUGAAUAUUAUUACAUGCUUUGGUAGGAACGCAAAGGCAAAUUGGGCUCACUGUAGAGAAUAUCUUGCUCCUCAUUUUGUAUUAAAAUGCCUAGACGCCCCUCAAGAGACCAUGUCAAGGAUGAAAUUUAUCCACUGCCUGCAUUUGCUAAUUUGAAAGAGUUCUGAUUUCAUCUGCCGGGCUUAAUAUAGAAAUUCUUUUAACCUGAACAGAUACACAGAAAUGUGGAAUUUAUUCAAUGCCAUUUUCUUGAUUUAUGUCAGGAAAUAUAUAUGGCUAUGCUGUCAUCUUUUUAUAUAUAGACAUCAAUAUAUAUAAAUAUAUAGAGUCAAGUCAGAAAUUCUGAAACCACAUUGCACUUAGCCCUUACAGCAUAAUGCUUUCCAUAUUCUUCACAGUUUGUUUCCCUGAUCCUUUAGAGAGAGCUACUGUGUUUAAAGUGUAAACCAUUUUUACAGAAAAAAUGUAUUACAAUUCUAUAUGAUAAUUCUCAAAGUUCAGGAAAAUAAUCUGAAAUAAACAUUCUAAAUUGAGGAAUGAAUAAUAAAGACUCAUCAAUUGGGCUGGGAGCAGUGGCUCACGCCUGUAAUCUCAGUACUUUGGGAGACCGAGGCAGGCGGAUCACCUGAGGUCAGCCUGGC
rnacentral:lncRNA from 10 species